AUAUAUAUAUUAUUUAUUAUGGUUUUAUUAUAGUGAGUUUGAUUGUUAUAU
rnacentral:guide_RNA from 1 species